UCGAGAGAAAAAAAAUCGAGAGAAAUUCUUCUUCAGUCUUCUUCCUUCUUCUCCUCUAUUCUCCCCUAUCCACCGCAAAAAAAAAAAAAAAAAAUCUUUCUCCAUCGCGUCUCUUUUCUUCUCCGCUCCUUAUUUUUCAAGUUCUUUUUGAGAAGGAAGACUACUGCAGUUAAUUUUUCUGAUUACAGUCUAGGGUUUUUGUAAUAAUCACUCUAAUUGUGUGAUUAUGUCAUUUUCACUUCCACCUCUCCCCCUCUGUUUUGAUUCUCCGUUCUCCCAUGAUUUUCUGUUGAUUUUUUUUCUUCUCUUUUUUACCUUGAAAUCAUAUUAGAAGGUUUGAUUUAGAUGUGUUUUGAUUUUGUAGGUGAAGGAUUAUCAGUUCUAACGUGAUUUAGGGGAAGCGCCUUCUCAGUUAACAGGGGAAGCUAAACAAAAAACAAAAAUCGAUCUGAUUCAUUCCCAGCCCUGAAAUUCCUUCCCCGAUCUUCAUCAACAAUUUUUGAUCAAGAGGUGAUGGGAGUCUUAAGAAUGGGUGUUCUGAUUUGAUUUGUCGUAGAACCAUGAGGUCCUAAGGAGCAAGGAGUGCAAAUCAUUUCAGCUUAUGACCAAGGAUUCAAAAGCACCAACGGGCUUGAUGCUUAAAACUAAGGUGUAGAAAAUUCGGUUGGUAAUACGCUGGAGAUUGAUGAAAAGGUCGUUUACCUGCAAACUGGAGGGGUUCUCUUCAAUAUCGGUGUCUGUCUAUUUCAUAUACACCAAAUGGGUUCAAUGUUGAGGGGAUGAAGAUGGCAGUUAAUAACCACAAAUCUGGGACUGUUCUGGCUGUUCUUGGUUCGUUGUUGUGCUUCAACGUUUGUGAAGAUUUGGAGCUUCUGUUUCAACGAAAAGAAUUACGGUUGCAUGGACAUCUAAUCCUGGGUACAAUACAAGGAAUGAGUCUCCUGUGCUUUAGGAUGCAAAGCGGUGUCUCUUCAUCACCAGUCGGGAUAUGAGAAUGAAACACAAAUAAAAAAAAAGCGUAUGGGUGGUGGGGAUGACCAGCAAGGUGAUAUUUGUUGGUCCCACAAAACAUAAAACCAAAAAAACACAUUCCAAACCCUAAGAAAAAACAAAAAACAUAACUCUUCGUUUCCUCAACUCUGUCUUUUGAUUUCGAAAAAAAUUUUCGUCUCCUUCACUGAAUCUUUAAACUUGGGUAAAUCUUUUGAUUUCAACAACCUAGCCCUAAUCUCUAACCUUGCGUCAAUCUCAAGUAGUUGUUUCGAGGAGGAUUGGGUUCUAUUUCGAAUCAACAUGUAAAUUGAAUUCAGCCCUGAUCUCUUUCGAUCUCAACAGGUACACAAACGAUAACUCUUAACCAGGGUUUGGUUUUGGGAAGAGCAACUGAGAAUGAGUCUAAAUCGGUAAGAAUGAGAGUGGGUUAAUCGGAUAUGGGGGUUUGAGAGUUCUUGGAUGAUGAUGAGAGUUUGGUUGAGAUCGAUUUGAAACCAGAUGAAGAAAUCAAUCGAGAAAAAAUAUUCCAGGUUCAAAUAUUUCUCUAUUUUUUCCCUGUCAAUUUCAAUUGAAUUUCGAUUUCAAAAAUUACUUAUACAUUCAAUGGGGCAAUGGGUAGUUGCAGAGCUAUUGUUGGUGUUGAUACCAGAGAAAUUACAGCAAUGGGGAAAUGGAUUCUAGUGUGUGCCAUAGGCCCCGGCUCUGUCCAGAUACUAUGAUCCAAUACUUUGAAACUCACUUUUUAUUGAUUCGAUACAUUAAAACUCACUUACAGGGGUUGUUGUUGGUGUUGGAUGGCAAAGUGUCAUAGCUUAUGUGAACCUAGCCUGUUAUUACUUGGUCAGAAUUCAUGUUGUAAUGAUCCUCGGUUACCUUAUCAACAAAAGCUUAAGGCUUUCCAUUAUGUACCUCUCCCUGUUCUACUUCUCUAUGUUUAAUUCAUCGUUGUUAUCCUUUAUUUUUUAAUUUUUUUGAUUGUUGGUAGUGGGUUCUUUUAUAGAUUUUGGAACAGUAAUUACGUAAAUCCUAAUUUAUGUUCUACAAUCACAGUAACCCUUUACGUAAACCCUAAUUUAUGUUCCAUGUGCAGUUGAGAUGAACAAAACUGGAUCAAGUAGAAAUUAGUUAGACUUUAUCAAGCUUGAAGGAUGAACUUUGUGGCGCUAUGCAUUCUUAGGGAUUACAGGUAUUCAAGGUACGAUUUUUCGUCACACCAAAAUGGUGCUUGGCUUAUUACAGGGAGAAUUUCUCUUAUGAGCACUGAGAUGAUAUCCUCGACAUCCGUAAUCAAUAUUGAGGUGGAUUUAUCAAUAGGUGAUGGAAUGAGGUCUGGAUCAAUUUAUGAUGCUAAUGACACCGCUCAAUUUGCUGAGCUUUUGACACAAGAAGAGCUAACACGUCGAGCGUAGGAGAAGGACGUACAGGUGAUGAACGAAGGACCUUGGCAUAUUCCACUACACAAGAUCCCUGAAAACAUGGACAACAAGUCUACAAGGCAGAAAAUAUAGGUUUUGUGCUUAUAUACUGUCUAAAGCAUCUCUUCAAUAGUUUUUAUUCUUUACUCCAUCUUAUUUGCUUAGACUACAUUCAAUUUGUACAUAAUGAAUUUGUUUGAAUAGUCUUUCUUUUUUUUUUUUGCAACUUUUAAUAGAACCCUAAACAGUUAAUGCAGCAAUCUUUACUGCAAGGUUCUGGAAAUCCUAAAAGGAAUUCCCGCGGGGAUAAAAGAAAAAACAAAAGCUUUAUGCAAAAGGAUAAUUUCCUUAGGAGUGGUACAUUCUACAAAAACUACUUGUGCCUCCCAAUUUUCUCUCUGUACCAGAUAUUGUAGAUGAACUACUAUCAAUUCUUUAUAGUAAGUUGUUACCAAUUUUCUUCUUCAUUGAUUGUGUGUAUGUUUAGCUUCUGUCGUUCAGCUAAUAAACUUGGCAGUAUAUUAAAUCUGGAAAUUUAUUUAAGGAUAUUUUUGUGUAAAUGCUUAAGAAAGUUCUCAAGCUAGCUGAAAUCAACAAAAUCUCAAGAUCAGGCCCUCCAAAUUUUAAGUCUCAUGAUGUGGAAGCCAAAGAAUUGCGCAAUACCUUCAAGUUAAGGGUAGAACUAAGGUAUAUUCAAUUUUUCUGGACGCCUACCGACAGCAGUAAAGGGAGAUACAAAGGAACGAUGAGGUCUAUAAUAAAGCUUAAGCAUUAUGCAGCAUCAAGAAUGGGAACUAUGAGAAACUAUGUAUAAAUCAGCACCAACAUAUGGCGCUAGCCUUCUCAGUGUAGCUGUUACAUGUUCAUGACCCAACAUUCAUGAAUCCUAAAAAACAUUAUUGAUGAAAGAGGUUAACAUAAGCGGAGAAUCGGUUUUAUCUAACUCAAAUAUAUAUCUAUUGUUUUUAUUUCUUGUAUACACAUUAUGUUUUAGUUCAUGCUCUAAAUGUGAGCUUAUUUUUCUUAUUUUUCGGUUAUAUGACAUUUAGUUAUAUCUAUUUUUUUGUAUACAGAGUUUGUGACAAAGCACACCUUCUUGGUUUUGGCGUACAAUUUCCUUCAUAUUUGUUGCGGUGCAUGUUAUGUAUCAUACGUAGUAUACACAAGUGGGGGAUUCAGGUGGCAGUACCAGUUUCCAAAGCAUUUGAUUUUGCAAUGGCACUAUCAUUUAGAGAACUUUGCAGUGUAAAACCACUCAAUCAAGCUACCGGAUAAUUUCACGUUCUCUAUUGAACCACUUCCUUUCUCAGUUGAAGAGACAGAGUAUAACUGCAUUAUGAUGGUGCUUUUCAUCGUCUCAAUGUUUUCUUAAA